rnacentral:rRNA from 1 species
UACGUAGGGUGCAAGCGUUAUUCGGAAUUACUGGGCGUAAAGCGUGCGCAGGCGGUUUUGUAAGACAGGGGUGAAAUCCCCGGGCUUAACCUGGGAACUGCAUUUGUGACUGCAUAGCUAGAGUACGGUAGAGGGGGAUGGAAUUCCGCGUGUAGCAGUGAAAUGCGUAGAUAUGCGGAGGAACACCGAUGGCGAAGGCAAUCCCCUGGACCUGUACUGACGCUCAUGCACGAAAGCGUGGGGAGCAAACAGG